ACGGAAGGCAGCAGUGGGGAAUAUUGCACAAUGGGGGAAACCCUGAUGCAGCGACGCCGCGUGAAGGAAGAAGUAUCUCGGUAUGUAAACUUUUAUCAGCAGGGAAGAAAAUGACGGUACCUGACUAAGAAGCCCCGGCUAACUACGUGCCAGCAGCCGCGGUAAUACGUAGGGGGCAAGCGUUAUCCGGAUUUACUGGGUGUAAAGGGAGCGUAGACGGAAUUGCAAGUCUGAUGUGAAAGGCAUGGGCUCAACCCGUGGACUGCAUUGGAAACUGUGAUUCUUGAGUGCCGGAGGGGUAAGCGGAAUUCCUGGUGUAGCGGUGAAAUGCGUAGAUAUCAGGAGGAACACCGGUGGCGAAGGCGGCUUACUGGACGGCAACUGACGUUGAGGCUCGAAGGCGUGGGGAGCAAACAGGAUUAGAUACCCUGGUA
rnacentral:rRNA from 1 species